rnacentral:rRNA from 1 species
GAUGAACGCUGGCGGCGUGCCUAAUACAUGCAAGUCGAGCGAACGGACGAGAAGCUUGCUUCUCUGAUGUUAGCGGCGGACGGGUGAGUAACACGUGGAUAACCUACCUAUAAGACUGGGAUAACUUCGGGAAACCGGAGCUAAUACCGGAUAAUAUUUUGAACCGCAUGGUUCAAAAGUGAAAGACGGUCUUGCUGUCACUUAUAGAUGGAUCCGCGCUGCAUUAGCUAGUUGGUAAGGUAACGGCUUACCAAGGCAACGAUGCAUAGCCGACCUGAGAGGGUGAUCGGCCACACUGGAACUGAGACACGGUCCAGACUCCUACGGGAGGCAGCAGUAGGGAAUCUGCCGCAAUGGGCGAAAGCCUGACGGAGCAACGCCGCGUGGGUGAUGAAGGUCUUCGGAUCGUAAAACUCUGUUAUUAGGGAAGAACAUAUGUGUAAGUAACUGUGCACAUCUUGACGGUACCUAAUCAGAAAGCAACGGCUAACUACGUG